rnacentral:rRNA from 1 species
GGACGGGUGAGUAACACGUGGGUAACCUGCCCAAGAGAUCGGGAUAACACCUGGAAACAGAUGCUAAUACCGGAUAACAACAGAUGAUGCCUAUCAACUGUUUAAAAGAUGGUUCUGCUAUCACUCUUGGAUGGACCUGCGGUGCAUUAGCUAGUUGGUAGGGUAACGGCCUACCAAGGCGAUGAUGCAUAGCCGAGUUGAGAGACUGAUCGGCCACAUUGGGACUGAGACACGGCCCAAACUCCUACGGGAGGCAGCAGUAGGGAAUCUUCCACAAUGGACGCAAGUCUGAUGGAGCAACGCCGCGUGAGUGAAGAAGGGUUUCGGCUCGUAAAGCUCUGUUGUUGGUGAAGAAGGACAGGGGUAGUAACUGACCUUUGUUUGACGGUAAUCAAUUAGAAAGUCACGGCUAACUACGUGCCAGCAGCCGCGGUAAUACGUAGGUGGCAAGCGUUGUCCGGAUUUAUUGGGCGUAAAGCGAGUGCAGGCGGCUCGAUAAGUCUGAUGUGAAAGCCUUCGGCUCAACCGGAGAAUUGCAUCAGAAACUGUCGAGCUUGAGUACAGAAGAGGAGAGUGGAACUCCAUGUGUAGCGGUGAAAUGCGUAGAUAUAUGGAAGAACACCGGUGGCGAAGGCGGCUCUCUGGUCUGUUACUGACGCUGAGGCUCGAAAGCAUGGGUAGCGAACAGGAUUAGAUACCCUGGUAGUCCAUGCCGUAAACGAUGAGUGCUAAGUGUUGGGAGGUUUCCGCCUCUCAGUGCUGCAGCUAACGCA